rnacentral:pre_miRNA from 1 species
CCCGCAGAAUCACUCUGGUGACGCUGUCUGAGACAUCACCGGGAAUUCUGUGGUGA